GAUGAACGCUGGCGGCGUGCUUAACACAUGCAAGUCGAACGAAGCGAUUUGGCGGAAGUUUUCGGAUGGAAGCUAGAUUGACUGAGUGGCGGACGGGUGAGUAACGCGUGGGUAACCUGCCUCCCACUGGGGGACAACAGUUAGAAAUGACUGCUAAUACCGCAUAAGCGCACAGGACCGCAUGGUCUGGUGUGAAAAACUCCGGUGGUGUGAGAUGGACCCGCGUUUGAUUAGCUAGUUGGUGGGGUAACGGCCUACCAAGGCGACGAUCAAUAGCCGACCUGAGAGGGUGACCGGCCACAUUGGGACUGAGACACGGCCCAAACUCCUACGGGAGGCAGCAGUGGGGAAUAUUGCACAAUGGGGGAAACCCUGAUGCAGCGACGCCGCGUGAGUGAAGAAGUAUUUCGGUAUGUAAGGCUCUAUCAGCAGGGAAGAAAAUGACGGUACCUGACUAAGAAGCCCCGGCUAACUACGUGCCAGCAGCCGCAGUAA
rnacentral:rRNA from 1 species